GAGGGUACAGCUCAGUGGAAGAGUGCAUGCUUAGCAUGCAUGAAGUCCUAGGUUCAAUCCCUGGUACCUCG
rfam:Camelus ferus unplaced genomic scaffold scaffold320, whole genome shotgun sequence.